rnacentral:tRNA from 1 species
GCCUUCGUGGUGUAAUGGUAGCACACUCGGGACGUAUUCGAGAGGUGCAGGUUCAAGUCCCGGGGAGGGCA